CCGGUGGCGGUGUUGCUGUGUUACCGUCAUACUGCUCCGACAGACGGAGCGAUGCAGGUCGCCUGGCCUCUGUUGGGUCCGGUCCGGUGGCUCCGCUACGUCAACAAAGAGGUGAAGGUGAAGGCCGGACCGGAUGAGGAGCGGACCGGCUGGCUGCUCACCGUGGAUCCGGUCUCUGCCUCUCUGGUCCUGGUGAACUUCCGGGCUGAAGGCGGCGCCACGGUGCAGGUGGUGAUGGGUCACGCUGUGGAGGAGGUCCAGGUCCUGCAGGAGGCUGAUGAGGAGACCACGGAGCGGCUCCAGACCUCCUUCCUGCCUCCAGAGACCAGCAGCAGGCUGGACCCGCAGGAGCUGAGGACCAGGAGGAGGGGGGUCCGGAGCUGGCUGGAGAAGAACCGGAUCCCCGUGGAGGAGGACGGGGACGAGCUGAGGGUGGCGUCGGGGGUCCUGAUCAUCAGGGCUCCGUACGGACCGGAGGACUGCUACAGCGCAAACCAGAUCAUCCUGGACCGGAUCCAGAAGCUGAUCCAGAGUCUGGUCCAACAGGAUCAUUCAGAACCUGAUCCAGAGUCUGAUCCAGCUCCAUCCAGGAACUGAUCCAGAGUCUGGUCCAGCUCCAUCCAGGAACUGAUCCAGAGUCUGAUCCAGCUCCAUCCAGAACCUGAUCCAGAUCUGAUCCAGCUCUAUCCAGGAACUAAUUCAGAGUCUGGUCCAACUCCAUCCAGGAACUGAUCCAGAGUCUGGUCCAGCUCCAUCCAGGAACUGAUCCAGAGUCUGGUCCAACCAGAUCAUCCAGGAACUGAUCCAGAAACUGAACCAGAUCAUCCAGGAACUGAUCCAGAGUCUGAACGGCAGUGUGAAACCAUGGAAACCUGUCAGGAAGUGAAAUCCACCAAUCAGAUUCCGGCUCUGUGUGUCUCGACCAAUCAGAGCGCAGCAGCAGUUGUGACUGGCAGCUGAUCUGGAACCAGUUUCAGUUCAGAUUAAGUUUUGUUUUCUUUCUGCAGUCUGAUUUAUUUUGUCCAAUUAAAACCUCUGAAGUUUGAAAAAAAUAAAUAAUCUAAUUUUUUUGAGGAAUAUUAUGAACAAGAUUGAUGUUUUUUUUCCACAUUUGUGCAUUUUUUUCCUUUGUAAUGUUAUUCUGCCUUUAAUAAAUGGUAAAUGGACUGCA